rnacentral:rRNA from 1 species
UACGGGGGGAGCAAGCGUUGUUCGGAUUUACUGGGCGUAAAGGGCGCGUAGGCGGCCACCGCAAGUCGACUGUGAAAUCUCCGGGCUUAACCCGGAAAGGUCAGCCGAUACUGCGGGCUAGAGUGCAGAAGGGCAACUGGAAUUCUCGGUGUAGCGGUGAAAUGCGUAGAUAUCGAGAGGAACACCUGCGGCGAAGGCGGUUGCUGGGCUGACACUGACACUGAGGCGCGAAAGCGUGGGAGCGAACAGG